rnacentral:rRNA from 1 species
GAUGAACGCUGGCGGCGUGCCUAAUACAUGCAAGUCGAGCGAACGGACGAGAAGCUUGCUUCUCUGAUGUUAGCGGCGGACGGGUGAGUAACACGUGGAUAACCUACCUAUAAGACUGGGAUAACUUCGGGAAACCGGAGCUAAUACCGGAUAAUAUUUUGAACCGCAUGGUUCAAAAGUGAAAGACGGUCUUGCUGUCACUUAUAGAUGGAUCCGCGCUGCAUUAGCUAGUUGGUAAGGUAACGGCUUACCAAGGCAACGAUGCAUAGCCGACCUGAGGGGGUGAUCGGCCACACUGGAACUGAGACACGGUCCAGACUCCUACGGGAGGCAGCAGUAGGGAAUCUUCCGCAAUGGGCGAAAGCCUGACGGAGCAACGCCGCGUGAGUGAUGAAGGUCUUCGGAUCGUAAAACUCUGUUAUUAGGGAAGAACAUAUGUGUAAGUAACUGUGCACAUCUUGACGGUACCUAAUCAGAAAGCCACGGCUAACUACGUGCCAGCAGCCGCGGUAAUACGUAGGUGGCAAGCGUUAUCCGGAAUUAUUGGGCGUAAAGCGCGCGUAGGCGGUUUUUUAAGUCUGAUGUGAAAGCCCACGGCUCAACCGUGGAGGGUCAUUGGAAACUGGAAAACUUGAGUGCAGAAGAGGAAAGUGGAAUUCCAUGUGUAGCGGUGAAAUGCGCAGAGAUAUGGAGGAACACCAGUGGCGAAGGCGACUUUCUGGUCUGUAACUGACGCUGAUGUGCGAAAGCGUGGGGAUCAAACAGGAUUAGAUACCCUGGUAGUCCACGCCGUAAACGAUGAGUGCUAAGUGUUAGGGGGUUUCCGCCCCUUAGCGCUGCAGCUAACGCAUUAAGCACUCCGCCUGGGGAGUACGACCGCAAGGUUGAAACUCAAAGGAAUUGACGGGGACCCGCACAAGCGGUGGAGCAUGUGGUUUAAUUCGAAGCAACGCGAAGAACCUUACCAAAUCUUGACAUCCUUUGACAACUCUAGAGAUAGAGCUUUCCCCUUCGGGGGACAAAGUGACAGGUGGUGCAUGGUUGUCGUCAGCUCGUGUCGUGAGAUGUUGGGUUAAGUCCCGCAACGAGCGCAACCCUUAAGCUUAGUUGCCAUCAUUAAGUUGGGCACUCUAAGUUGACUGCCGGUGACAAACCGGAGGAAGGUGGGGAUGACGUCAAAUCAUCAUGCCCCUUAUGAUUUGGGCUACACACGUGCUACAAUGGACAAUACAAAGGGCAGCGAAACCGCGAGGUCAAGCAAAUCCCAUAAAGUUGUUCUCAGUUCGGAUUGUAGUCUGCAACUCGACUACAUGAAGCUGGAAUCGCUAGUAAUCGUAGAUCAGCAUGCUACGGUGAAUACGUUCCCGGGUCU